UACGUAGGGUGCAAGCGUUAUCCGGAAUUAUUGGGCGUAAAGAGCUCGUAGGCGGUUUGUCGCGUCUGCUGUGAAAACCGGAGGCUCAACCUCCGGCCUGCAGUGGGUACGGGCAAACUAGAGUGCGGUAGGGGAGAUUGGAAUUCCUGGUGUAGCGGUGGAAUGCGCAGAUAUCAGGAGGAACACCGAUGGCGAAGGCGGCAUCCUGGACCAACACUGACGCUGAGGAGCGAAAGCGUGGGGAGCGAACAGG
rnacentral:rRNA from 1 species